AGGGCGCACGGGGGAUGCCUGUGGCUCUCAGAGGCGAAGAAGGACGUGAUAAGCUGCGAAAAGCGUCGGGGAGGUGCAAAUAACUUGUGAUCCGGCGAUAUCCGAAUGGGGCAACCCAGCAUGUUGAAGACAUGUUAUUUCCGAAUGGAAAGGCGAACUCGGUGAACUGAAACAUCUAAGUAACCGAAGGAAGAGAAAACAAAAGUGAUUUCCCAAGUAGUGGCGAGCGAACGGGAAAAAGCCCAAACCAAGGUUGUUACGGCAACGUUGGGGUUGUAGGACCACGACAUAGAAAUAUUCUUGAUAUUGGAACACAUCUGGAAAGAUGGACCGAAGAAGGUGAUAGUCCUGUAUAAGAAAUUGAGGAUAGAUUUUAGUGGAAUCCUGAGUACCGCGGGACCGGAGAAAUCCUGUGGGAAACCGGCAGCACCAUCUGCCAAGGCUAAAUACUACUGAGAGACCGAUAGCGAACUAGUACCGUGAGGGAAAGGUGAAAAGUACUCCGAACAGGAGGGUGAAAUAGAACCUGAAACCGUGCGCUUACAAGCGGUCGGAGCCCAUCCGUUGGGUGACGGCGUGCCUUUUGCAUAAUGAGCCUACGAGUUACACCUCUCUGGCAAGGUUAAUUGCUUAGAAGCAAGAAGCCGAAGCGAAAGCGAGUCUGAAUAGGGCGCGAAGUCAGAGGGGGUAGACGCGAAACUUUGUGAUCUACCCAUGGCCAGGUUGAAGUUGCAGUAACAUGCAAUGGAGGACCGAACCAGUUAGCGUUGAAAAGCUUUUGGAUGAGCUGUGGGUAGGGGUGAAAGGCUAAUCAAACUGAGAGAUAGCUCGUACUCCCCGAAAUGCCUUUAGGGGCAGCCUCGAGGUUGAGUUUUAUAGAGGUAGAGCUACUGAUUGGAUGCGGGGGCUUCACCGCCUGCCAAAUCCAGACAAACUCCGAAUGCUAUAAAAUAUACUCGGGAGUGAGGCGCAGGGUGCUAAGGUCAUGCGCCGAGAGGGAAAGAACCCAGACCAUCAGCUAAGGUCCCUAAAUAUAUGCUAAGUUGAAACAACGCGGUUGGACUGCAUUGACAGCUAGGAUGUUGGCUUGGAAGCAGCCAUUCAUUUAAAGAGUGCGUAACAGCUCACUAGUCGAGCGAUCGGGCAUGGAUAAUAAUCGGGCAUAAGUAGUUUACCGAAGCUAUGGUAUAGUGCUUUAGGGCACUGUAGGUAGGGGAGCAUUCCAGUCUGCGUAGAAGGUGAAUCGUAAGGUUUGCUGGAGCGUCUGGAAAAGCAAAUGUAGGCAUAAGUAACGAUAAUGCGGGCGAGAAACCCGCACACCGGAAGACUAAGGUUUCCUGAUCAACGCUAAUCGGAUCAGGGUUAGUCGGGACCUAAGGCGCACCCGAAGGGGGAAGUCGAUGGACAAUUGGUUAAUAUUCCAAUACUAUCGUUAACUGCGAAGUGGAGACGAAGGAGUGACAUGUCUGCCAACUGACGGAAUAGUUGGUUAAAGGGUGUAGAUAAAUUGAUUGGAGGCAAAUCCCUGAUCGAUGUCGAACCUGAUAGUACCGGGAGUUUUCGGACAAACGGAUAAUGACAGUAAACAGACUUCCAAGAAAAUCCGCUAAGCUUCAGGUUAAUGAUACCCGUACCGCAAACCGACACAGGUAGUCGAGGAGAGUAUCCAAAGGUGCUCGAGUGAAUCAUGGCUAAGGAACUAGGCAAAUUAGUCCUGUAACUUAGGGAAAAAGGACCCCGUCUUUGACGGGCGCAGAGAAAUGGCCCAGGCGACUGUUUAUCAAAAACACAUGGCUUUGCUAAAUCGAAAGAUGACGUAUAAGGCCUGACACCUGCCCGGUGCUGGAAGGUUAAGAGGAGAGGUUAGUCGCAAGGCGAAGCUUUGAAUUGAAGCCCCAGUAAACGGCGGCCGUAACUAUAACGGUCCUAAGGUAGCGAAAUUCCUUGUCGGGUAAGUUCCGACCUGCACGAAUGGUGUAACGAUCUGGGCACUGUCUCAGCCAUGAGCUCGGUGAAAUUGUAGUAGCGGUGAAGAUGCCGCUUACCCGCAACGGGACGGAAAGACCCCGUGAACCUUCACUAUAGCUUAACAUUGACUUUGAAUAAAUGAUGUGUAGGAUAGGUGGGAGACUGAGAAUUGGCCUCGCUAGGGGUCAAGGAGUCAACCUUGAAAUACCACCCUUUGUUUCUUCGGAGCCUAAUCCCCAAAAAGGGGAGACAGUGUUUGGUGGGUAGUUUGACUGGGGUGGUCGCCUCCAAAAGCGUAACGGAGGCUUUCAAAGGUACCCUCAGCACGCUUGGUAACCGUGCGUAGAGUGCAAUGGCAUAAGGGUGCUUGACUGUGAGACCAACAAGUCGAUCAGGUAGGAAACUAGGACAUAGUGAUCCGGUGGUUCCGUAUGGAAGGGCCAUCGCUCAAAGGAUAAAAGGUACUCCGGGGAUAACAGGCUGAUCAUUCCCAAGAGCUCAUAUCGACGGAAUGGUUUGGCACCUCGAUGUCGGCUCGUCACAUCCUGGGGCUGGAGAAGGUCCCAAGGGUUGGGCUGUUCGCCCAUUAAAGUGGCACGCGAGCUGGGUUCAGAACGUCGUGAGACAGUUCGGUCCCUAUCUGUUGUGGGCGUAGGAAGUUUGAGAGGCGCUGACCUUAGUACGAGAGGACCGGGUUGGACAAACCUCUGGUGGACCUGUUGUGGAGCCAAUCUGCACCGCAGGGUAGCCACGUUUGGAUGAGAUAAGCGCUGAAAGCAUCUAAGCGCGAAACUCGCCUCAAGAUGAGACUUCCCUUGAGGGCCGUUAUAGAUUAUGACGUUGAUAGGCUGCAGGUGUAAAGGUGGUAACAUCAAAGCCGAGCAGUACUAAUAGCCCGAUACUUUCUUCA
rnacentral:rRNA from 1 species